rnacentral:rRNA from 2 species
CUUGCUGGCUGCUUGUUGGCGGUCAGCUCCUCUGAAAUGCAUUAGCGGAACCGUUUGCGAUCUGCCACAAGUGUGAUAAAUUAUCUGCACUGGCGAGGGGAUUGCUCUCUGUGUUGUUCAGCUUCUAAUCGUCUCAAUCUGACGAGACAACUUCCUGAAUGCU